UACGUAGGGCGCAAACGUUGUCCGGAAUUAUUGGGCGUAAAGAGCUCGUAGGCGGUCUGUCGCGUCGGAUGUGAAAGCCCGGGGCUUAACCCCGGGUCUGCAUUCGAUACGGGCAGACUAGAGUGUGGUAGGGGAGAUCGGAAUUCCUGGUGUAGCGGUGAAAUGCGCAGAUAUCAGGAGGAACACCGGUGGCGAAGGCGGAUCUCUGGGCCAUUACUGACGCUGAGGAGCGAAAGCGUGGGGAGCGAACAGG
rnacentral:rRNA from 1 species